UGGAUCCAGACUUUGAUUAUGGCUCAGGAUAAACGCUGGCGGCGCACAUAAGACAUGCAGGUCGAACGAACUUAAUACCUUGCUUGCAAGGUAAGCGGUUAGUGGCGGACUGGUGAGUAACACGUAAGAAAUCUGCCUAUCAGAGGGGAAUAACAGUGAGAAAUCAUUGCUAAUACCGCAUAUGCCAUAGUUAUCGCAUGAUAAUAGUGGGAAAGGAGCAAUCCGCUGAUAGAUGAGCUUGCGGCUGAUUAGCUAGUUGGUGGGGUAAAGGCCUACCAAGGCGACGAUCAGUAGCCGGACUGAGAGGUUGAACGGCCACAUUGGGACUGAGAUACGGCCCAGACUCCUACGGGAGGCAGCAGUCGGGAAUAUUGCGCAAUGGAGGAAACUCUGACGCAGUGACGCCGCGUAUAGGAAGAAGGUUUUCGGAUUGUAAACUAUUGUCCACAGGGAAGAAAAGGACUGUACCUGUGAAGAAAGCUCCGGCUAACUACGUGCCAGCAGCCGCGGUAAUACGUAGGGAGCAAGCGUUAUCCGGAAUUAUUGGGUGUAAAGGGUGCGUAGACGGGAUAACAAGUUAGUUGUGAAACCCCUCGGCUUAACUGAGGAACUGCAACUAAAACUAUUAUUCUUGAGUGCAGGAGGGGAAAGUGGAAUUCCUAGUGUAGCGGUGAAAUGCGUAGAUAUUAGGAAGAACACCAGUGGCGAAGGCGACUUUCUGGACUGUAACUGACGUUGAGGCACGAAAGUGUGGGGAGCAAACAGGAUUAGAUACCCUGGUAGUCCACACUGUAAACGAUGGAUACUAGGUGUAGGAGAUAUUAAAGCUUCUGUGCCGUCGCAAACGCAGUAAGUAUCCCACCUGGGGAGUACGACCGCAAGGUUGCAACUCAAAGGAAUUGACGGA
rnacentral:rRNA from 1 species